rnacentral:rRNA from 1 species
UUAACGGAGAGUUUGAUCCUGGCUCAGGACGAACGCUGGCGGCGUGCCUAAUACAUGCAAGUCGAGCGGACAGAAGGGAGCUUGCUCCCGGACGUUAGCGGCGGACGGGUGAGUAACACGUGGGCAACCUGCCCCUUAGACUGGGAUAACUCCGGGAAACCGGAGCUAAUACCGGAUAAUCCCUUUCUCCACCUGGAGAGAGGGUGAAAGAUGGCUUCGGCUAUCACUAGGGGAUGGGCCCGCGGCGCAUUAGCUAGUUGGUAAGGUAACGGCUUACCAAGGCAACGAUGCGUAGCCGACCUGAGAGGGUGAUC